rnacentral:rRNA from 1 species
AAAUUGAAGAGUUUGAUCAUGGCUCAGAUUGAACGCUGGCGGCAGGCCUAACACAUGCAAGUCGAACGGUAACAGGAAGCAGCUUGCUGCUUCGCUGACGAGUGGCGGACGGGUGAGUAAUGUCUGGGAAACUGCCUGAUGGAGGGGGAUAACUACUGGAAACGGUGGCUAAUACCGCAUAACGUCGCAAGACCAAAGAGGGGGACCUUCGGGCCUCUUGCCAUCAGAUGUGCCCAGAUGGGAUUAGCUAGUUGGUGAGGUAACGGCUCACCAAGGCGACGAUCCCUAGCUGGUCUGAGAGGAUGAGCAGCCACACUGGAACUGAGACACGGUCCAGACUCCUACGGGAGGCAGCAGUGGGGAAUAUUGCACAAUGGGCGCAAGCCUGAUGCAGCCAUGCCGCGUGUAUGAAGAAGGCCUUCGGGUUGUAAAGUACUUUCAGCGGGGAGGAAGGUGUUGUGGUUAAUAACC